rnacentral:rRNA from 1 species
AACGAACGCUGGCGGCAUGCCUAACACAUGCAAGUCGAACGAGACCUUCGGGUCUAGUGGCGCACGGGUGCGUAACGCGGGGGAACCUACCCUUAGGUUCGGAAUAACUCCCCGAAAGGGGUGCUAAUACCGGAUAAUGUCUUCGGACCAAAGAUUUAUCGCCUUUGGAUGGGCCCGCGUUGGAUUAGCUAGUUGGUAGGGUAAAAGCCUACCAAGGCGACGAUCCAUAGCUGGUCUGAGAGGAUGAUCAGCCACACUGGGACUGAGACACGGCCCAGACUCCUACGGGAGGCAGCAGUGGGGAAUAUUGGACAAUGAGCGCAAGCCUGAUCCAGCCAUGCCGCGUGAGUGAUGAAGGCCUUAGGGUUGUAAAGCUCUUUUACCCGGGAUGAUAAUGACAGUACCGGGAGAAUAAGCUCCGGCUAACUCCGUG